rnacentral:rRNA from 1 species
ACUCAAAGGAAUAGACGGGGGCCCGCACAAGCGGUGGAGCAUGUGGUUCAAUUCGACGCAACGCGAAGAACCUUACCUGGGUUUGAACUGCCGACGAAUGUCCCAGAGACGGGACCGACUCGCAAGAGACGUCGGUAGAGGUGCUGCAUGGCUGUCGUCAGCUCGUGUCGUGAGAUGUUGGGUUAAGUCCCGCAACGAGCGCAACCCUCGCCUGUAGUUGCCAACGGGUCAUGCCGGGAACUCUACAGGGACUGCCCCGGAAAACGGGGAGGAAGGUGGGGAUGACGUCAAGUCCUCAUGGCCUUUAUGUCCAGGGCUACACACGUGCUACAAUGGCCGGUACAAAGGGAUGCAAGACCGCGAGGUGGAGCGAAUCCCAAAAAGCUGGUCUCAGUUCGGAUUGUAGUCUGCAACUCGACUACAUGAAGUCGGAAUCGCUAGUAAUGGCGGAUCAGCACGCCGCCGUGAAUACGUUCCCGGGCCUUGUACACACCGCCCGU